UGUGCACAGGCCUAACAACAAUAUGCCUAUUCGUGGUAGUUGCUGUUUAUACUUCUCUUGCAAGAAAUCCCUAAACCACAUGCCGAAUCAUGACAGUUUUAAGAGCAGUUUGGGAUCAUGUGAGCACAGGAAAACUCCCCUACAACAAAAAUAACCUCCGGAUGCAGGGAAUGGAACUGCCCCGUGGAAACAUUUUUUUUUUAAAAAGCUCAUCACAACUGAAAGGAUGUAGAGCUGAAGUUUGCCAGACUCAGGCCCUGAAAGGAGCUUCAGAUGCUGAUCAAAUGCACCCAUUUCUCCUUCCACGGCGAAAGACACUUCCCGCAGACUCCACUGCUACUCCCCACAGAAUCUCCACCAAUGAAUAGAACACUCUUUUGCAGUAGUCAAAUUCCCUGGUCUGAGGAUUUUCUCCCACUCUGUGCAGGCUUCUCAAUUUUAUCUGUUUUAUUGUUUUUAUGCCUGUUUUUAUAUGUUUUUAGCUUGAUGUUUUAACUGCUUUUUUAUUGUAUGUUUUAAUUUUUGUAAACCGCCUUGGGGUUGUUUUUAACUAACGGUGGUAUAGAA